rnacentral:rRNA from 1 species
CAGCAGCCACGGGAAUACGAAGGGUGCAAGCGUUACUCGGAAUUACUGGGCGUAAAGCGUGCGUAGGUGGUGGUUUAAGUCCGUUGUGAAAGCCCUGGGCUCAACCUGGGAAUUGCAGUGGAUACUGGAUCACUAGAGUGUGGUAGAGGAUAGUGGAAUUUCCGGUGUAGCAGUGAAAUGCGUAGAGAUCGGAAGGAACAUCUGUGGCGAAGGCGACUAUCUGGGCCAACACUGACACUGAGGCACGAAAGCGUGGGGAGCAAACAGGAUUAGAUACCCCAGUAGUCCCUGUCUCUUAUAC